CACGGAACAACUCCACCAAAUCAAUAACAACAUGUACCCAUAAAUGACCAUGGAAUAACGGCUGCCCUAACCCCACCAGAAAGAACCCAUCAAUGACAUGUCUACCCCAAACAAUAUUUUCCAAUAACCGAACCUUACAUUUUCUUUUUCUAGGCAAAAUAAAAAAAUAGAUGGACUACUUGCUAUUGUUGCAGAGUUACUGCUGAAACUUCUCCAAAUAAG
rnacentral:lncRNA from 1 species